CCCCAGCACCCCAAACAAAACAAAACCAAAGUGAUUUAUUGGGGUCCUUCCUAAAUCAUGGAAUUUUAUGUGACAAUCCUCCAAGCCACUAGAGUCUACUACUUCAAGCACUGAAAUCUUUCACCUUUUUUUUUUUUAAUAGUACUAGGGAUCAAACCCAGGGAGCCCUACCAAUGAGCUAUAUUUCCAGACCUCUUUAUUUUUUAUUUUGAGACAAGGUCUUUCCUAAGUUGCUGAGGCUGGCCUUGAACUUGCAAUUUUCCUCCCUUACUUUCCUGGCACCAUUAGGCUACACCUUUUUUUUCCCCCCUAGUACUGAGGAUUGAACCCAGGGUUUGGUGCAUGCUAGGCAAGCACUCUGCCACUAAGCUAAAUCCCCAGCCCCACCUUUUACUUUUUUACACGACUUUGACAGAAGCCUUUCAAAAAGUCUUGCUUUGUAAACUGCAUUCUACCCAGCUGCACUUUCAAUAUGGUUGGCCCAACAAGUCCUAGUGCUAUGUAGAAAGUACCUGAACUGACAGGUUUGGGCUUGAGAUCCAGUCCCACCACUAUUCACAGUGUUUCAAACCUUUGUGGGUCAUAGUUUCCUUAAUCCCAAAACCAGGGAUGACAAACAGUAUUUGACAGGGAUGUUCUCAGGAUGAGCUAGGAAUGAUGAUUCCAGUUUAGUGAGUGCUUACAAUAUAGACACUGUCCUAAGCAUUGCAUGUAUAAACUCCUUUCAUGAGAGAAUGUAAUCAUUUAGCAUGUGGCUGGGACAUAGCACAUGCUCAAUAAAUACUGGUUGCUAA
rnacentral:lncRNA from 1 species